GCUCAGAAACUCAAGGAAUUGACGGGGCCCGCACAAGCGGUGGAGUAUGUGGUUUAAUUCGAUGCAACGCGAAGAACCUUACCUGGUCUUGACAUCCCGGAGACCCUUAGGAAACUAGGGGGUGCUUCCAUCUGGAAGAAUCUGGAGACAGGUGCUGCAUGGCUGUCGUCAGCUCGUGUCGUGAGAUGUUGGGUUAAGUCCCGCAACGAGCGCAACCCUUGCCUUUAGUUGCCAGCAGUUCGGCUGGGCACUCUAAAGGGACUGCCGGUGUUAAACCGGAGGAAGGUGGGGAUGACGUCAAGUCCUCAUGGCCUUUAUGACCAGGGCUACACACGUACUACAAUGGCCGAUACAAAGGGCAGCGACACUGCGAGGUGAAGCCAAUCCCGUAAAAUCGGUCUCAGUCCGGAUUGGAGUCUGCAACUCGACUCCAUGAAGUUGGAAUCGCUAGUAAUCGUGGAUCAGCAUGCCACGGUGAAUACGUUCCCGGGCCUU
rnacentral:rRNA from 1 species